rnacentral:lncRNA from 1 species
UUAUUGAUGCUUCCAAGACAAGCGUAGAUUACAGAGCUUGGUUGUUGAGAAUCAAGCCAGCUGAGACAUUGAUGUUCAUCAACUGCAGCUUUCUUCCCUCUCUGUGCCUUGUCUAAACCAGACUUGUUGCAGAGAGAAAGAGGUCCAAUGCUCCAUACCUUUUUUCUUUUUAACUCUCUGUACUCUCUGACGUACUCUGCUUCAAUUUUUUCAAAAGUGUUCAUAAUCACCCCGUAUGAUUCUUUAUCUGCUUCUAAUAUCUCCUCUCUACUCUCUUUCCAGAUUUCAUCAGUGGGUAUUGGUAUCUGUGCUCUUGUAAAUUUAAUUUCAUCCGGCAUGUUUGGCACAGUGAAAUACUCGGAGUCGGAGGUUACAGUCUCGACAAUCUUAGAAAGAAAUCCAUCUGCCAUGAUAUUAUGCAUGCACAAAAGGUAGAAGCAGCUUGUUCCAUGAAAGGAAAUUCUAGGUAUCUGAAACUUACCGGCGAUUUUGUUUGUAUACGGCAAGCAGAAAUCGGAGACGAUGCAGGACGGUGGUGGUGAUAGCUCCUCAAAUAAUCUCUCGACCGGUUCUUGAAACAAGUUGGUUGCUUUGAAGAAAUUAAGGAGUAAUCC